rnacentral:rRNA from 1 species
UACAGAGACUGCAAGCGUUAUUCGGAUUCACUGGGCGUAAAGGGUGCGCAGGCGGCCGUGUGUGUGAGGCGUGAAAGCCCGGAGCUCAACUCCGGAAUUGCACCUCAAACUACACGGCUAGAGCAUUGGAGAGGGUAGCGGAAUUCACGGUGUAGCAGUGAAAUGCGUAGAUAUCAGGAGGAACACCGGUGGUGUAGACGGCUAUCUGGACCGUAACUGACGCUGAGGCACGAAAGCGUGGGUAGCAAACAGG